rnacentral:ncRNA from 1 species
AAAAAAAAAAAAAAAAAAAAAAAAAAAAAAAAAAAAAAAAAAAAAAAAAAAAAAAAAAAAAAAAAACAAAAUUCAAAAAAAAUCAAAAACAAAAAAAACCCAAAAAAAAUAAUAAAACUUUAAAAAAGAACAAAAAAAUGCCCUGCAUGCUCGCCCUUGCAUGAUGCAUGAGAUCCCCCAUUAGGGGGGAGGCUAACCUUUAUUUUUAGGCACUCGAUGGAAUCGUGCGUGGACCAAGACGGCAGCCGCUGAAGUUGGACCGAAUUGGAUGGAACGCGCCGAAGAACUGACGCCGACCAGCCGUAUGGGAAGACGGAGACGUGAUGCCGUUGGAAAUCCACCUACGAAUUCUAAGCGAACAACAACAGUCGGGGAAAGAAGAAUAAAGACAACGGCUCCUCCGGAGUCUCCCCCCUGAAGCCGGGCCCUCAUUGCUGUCCCCACCACACUCUCCCCCUGACAACUUCCCCCCCAUAUAUAUUGUUAAAAUCGGUACCGGCCGUCACCGGGCUGCUAUGCAGUAUCUAUGUUUCUAUAUAUAACUGAUGUUAUUAUAUUGUGAUAAUUUAAUAAAGCUCCAUUCGUGCGCGUCACUAUUAGAACGACGAAAGCCGGCGCUCUUCGGAGUGUCCUGCAAAUACCGAAUCUAGCCAAAUGCCUCGUCAUCUAAUUAGUGACGCGUAUGAAUGGAUCAACAAGAUUCCUUCUGUCCCUAUCUACUAUCUAGCGAAACCACAGCCAAGGGAACGGGCUUGGCAAAAUCAGCGGGGAAAGAAGACCCUGUUGAGCUUGACUCUAGUCUGACUCUGUGAA